rnacentral:rRNA from 1 species
GGAGGAAAAGAACUAACAAGGAUUCCCCUAGUAACUGCGAGUGAAGCGGGAAAAGCUCAAAUUUAAAAUCUGGCGGCCUCUGGUCGUCCGAGUUGUAAUCUAGAGAAGUGAUGCCCGCGCUGGACCGUGUACAAGUCUCCUGGGAUGGAGCGUCAUAGAGGGUGAGAAUCCCGUCUCUGACACGGACUACCAGGGCUUUGUGGUACGCUCUCAAAGAGUCGAGUUGUUUGGGAAUGCAGCUCAAAAUGGGUGGUAAAUUCCAUCUAAAGCUAAAUAUUGGCGAGAGACCGAUAGCGAACAAGUACCGUGAGGGAAAGAUGAAAAGAACUUUGGAAAGAGAGUUAAACAGUACGUGAAAUUGCUGAAAGGGAAACGCUUGAAGUCAGUCACGUUGGCCGGGGAUCAGCCUCACUCUUUUGUGUGGUGUAUUUUCUGGUUGACGGGUCAGCAUCAAUUUUGACCGCUGGAAAAAGGCUUGAGGAAUGUGGCAGCUCCGGCUGUGUUAUAGCUUCAGGUCACAUACAGUGGUUGGGAUUGAGGAACUCAGCACGCCGCAAGGCCGGGUUUCGACCACGUUCGUGCUUAGGAUGCUGGCAUAAUGGCUUUA